rnacentral:rRNA from 1 species
AUUGAACGCUGGCGGCAGGCUUAACACAUGCAAGUCGAGCGAGCGGCGGACGGGUGAGUAAUGUCUGGGAAACUGCCUGAUGGAGGGGGAUAACUACUGGAAACGGUAGCUAAUACCGCAUACCAUCGGAUGUGCCCAGAUGGGAUUAGCUAGUAGGUGGGGUAAUGGCUCACCUAGGCGACGAUCCCUAGCUGGUCUGAGAGGAUGACCAGCCAAACUGGAACUGAGACACGGGCCAGACUCCUACGGGAGGCAGCAGUGGGGAAUAUUGAACAAUGGGCGCAAGCCGGAUGCAGCCAUGCCGCGUGUGUGAAGAAGGCCUUCGGGUUGUAAAGGACUUUCAGCGAGGAGGCGUUACUCGCAGAAGAAGCACCGGCUAACUCCGUGCCAGCAGCCGCGGUAAUUC